AUUGAACGCUGGCGGCAUGCUUUACACAUGCAAGUCGGACGGCAGCGGGGUAGUGCUUGCACUACUGCCGGCGAGUGGCGAACGGGUGAGUAAUAUAUUGGAACGUACCGAGUAAUGGGGGAUAACCAAUCGAAAGAUUGGCUAAUACCGCAUACGCUCUGAGGAGGAAAGCAGGGGACCUUCGGGCCUUGCGUUAUUCGAGCGGCCAAUAUCUGAUUAGCUAGUUGGUGGGGUAAAGGCCUACCAAGGCGACGAUCAGUAGCGGGUCUGAGAGGAUGAUCCGCCACACUGGGACUGAGACACGGCCCAGACUCCUACGGGAGGCAGCAGUGGGGAAUUUUGGACAAUGGGCGCAAGCCUGAUCCAGCCAUGCCGCGUGUCUGAAGAAGGCCUUCGGGUUGUAAAGGACUUUUGUUAGGGAAGAAAAAGGAGCGGUUAAUACCCGUUUCUGCUGACGGUACCUAAAGAAUAAGCACCGGCUAACUACGUGCCAGCAGCCGCGGUAAUACGUAGGGUGCGAGCGUUAAUCGGAAUUACUGGGCGUAAAGCGAGCGCAGACGGUUACUUAAGCAGGAUGUGAAAUCCCCGGGCUCAACCUGGGAACUGCGUUCUGAACUGGGUAGCUAGAGUAUGUCAGAGGGGGGUAGAAUUCCACGUGUAGCAGUGAAAUGCGUAGAGAUGUGGAGGAAUACCGAUGGCGAAGGCAGCCCCCUGGGAUAAUACUGACGUUCAUGCUCGAAAGCGUGGGUAGCAAACAGG
rnacentral:rRNA from 1 species